rnacentral:rRNA from 1 species
AGAACGAACGCUGGCGGCAGGCCUCAAACAUGCAAGUCUAGGGGGCGUAGCAAUACGUCACCGGCGGACGGGUGCGUAACACGUGGGAAUGUACUUAUUGGUUCGGAACAACUCAGGGAAACUUGAGCUAAUACCGAAUGUGCCCGAAAGGGGAAAGAUUUAUCGCCAAUAAAUCAGCCCGCGUCCGAUUAGCUAGUUGGUGGGGUAAAGGCCCACCAAGGCGACGAUCGGUAGCUGUUCUGAGAGGAAGAUCAGCCACACUGGGACUGAGACACGGCCCAGACUCCUACGGGAGGCAGCAGUUGGGAAUCUUGGACAAUGGGGAAACCCUGAUCCAGCCAUGCCGCGUGAGUGAUGAAGGCCUUCGGGUUGUAAAACUCUUUCGACGGGGACGAUAAUGACGGUACCCGUAGAAGAGCUCGGCUAACUUCGCGCCAGCAGCCGC